rnacentral:rRNA from 1 species
AUGCGAUACUUGGUGUGAAUUGCAGAAUUCAGUGAAAUGCGAUACUUGGUGUGAAUUGCAGAAUUCAGUGAAUCAUCGCAGUAUCUUUGAACGCACUUGCGCCCGCCAGUAUUCUGCGGGCAUGCCUGUCCGAGGUCAUUUCAACCCUCGAACCCCUCCGGGGGGUCGGCGUUGGGGAUCGGGAACCCCUCAGACGGGAUCCCGGCCCCGAAAUACAGUGGCGGUCUCGCCGCAGCCUCUCCUGCGCAGUAGUUUGCACAACUCGCACCGGGAGCGCGGUCGCGUCCACGUCCGUAAAACACCCAACUUUCUGAAAUGUUGACCUCGGAUCAGGUAGGAAUAACCCUUCUGAACUUAAGCAUAUCAAUAAGCGGAGGAAACUACCCGCUGAACUUAAGCAUAUCAAUAAGCGGAGGAA